CUUACAAUUCCCUAGAAAGAGGCUAAACGUAUAUAUUUAAGGGAAAUUCAUUCCCUUCUUCUAGCUGAAACUGUUGAGAGUUUUCCCUAAAAGCAUAGAACCACCAUUUUCUUCUUUUAAGUUCGAGUUGUAGAGAAAUUUCAAGGAGUAGCUGCAAUAUUUGAAAGAAAAAGGUUCGAGUGGCAGUUUAGAGUGAACAAGCAAGGACUUCUAUUUCAUUAAGCAUAUCAGGUUAAGUUGUGAUGUGAUGCAGAUGGAAGCGAGCAGAGCAAAGUCUUGAUGUAUAUGUAUUAAAUCAGGCUCAGGAUUUCAUGUCUUCAUACAUGUAAUGCACUUGAGUUAUUCCGCUGCAACACUUAAUGUACUUUACUUUGUUGAUGUGUUGUACAGAUUUUAAACCAAUAGCUUCGAGAAUUAUGUCACUUAGACAACUUGUUGUUGUAUUAUUGUAAGUUGUCUACUCGUGAGUGUUAAAAGUGAUUGUUUAGGAUUACCAGACAUUAUGGUAAAAUAUUGUUUAAGAAGGUCAAUUAUCAUUUUCUAAA